rnacentral:rRNA from 1 species
CUCGUAGGUGGUUUGUCGCGUUGUUCGUGAAAACUCACAGCUCAACUGUGGGCGUGCGGGCGAUACGGGCAGACUUGAGUACUGCAGGGGAGACUGGAAUUCCUGGUGUAGCGGUGGAAUGCGCAGAUAUCAGGAGGAACACCGGUGGCGAAGGCGGGUCUCUGGGCAGUAACUGACGCUGAGGAGCGAAAGCGUGGGAGCGAACA